ACGCCUGUAGCUCAACUGGUAGAGCACCGGAUUCCAAAUCCGGGGGUUGGGGGUUCGAUUCCCUCCGGGCGUG
rnacentral:tRNA from 1 species